CCUACGGGUGACUGCAGUGAGGAAUAUUGGUCAAUGGGCGCGAGCCUGAACCAGCCAAGUAGCGUGAAGGAUGACUGCCCUACGGUUUGUAAACUUCUUUUAUAAAGGAAUAAAGUGAGGCACGUGUGCCUUUUUGUAUGUACUUUAUGAAUAAGGAUCGGCUAACUCCGUGCCAGCAGCCGCGGUAAUACGGAGGAUCCGAGCGUUAUCCGGAUUUAUUGGGUUUAAAGGGUGCGUAGAUGGGUUGUUAAGUCAGGUGUGAAAGUUUGCGGCUCAACCGUAAAAUUGCCAUUGAUACUGGCAGUCGUGAGUACAGUUGAGGUAGGCGGAAUGCGUGGUGUAGCGGUGAAAUGCUUAGAUAUCACGAAGAACUCCGAUUGCGAAGGCAGCUUACCAAGCUGCGACUGACAUUGAUGCUCGAAAGUGUGGGUAUCAAACAGGAUUAGAUACCCUUGUAGUC
rnacentral:rRNA from 1 species